rnacentral:tRNA from 1 species
GGAAGGGUCGCAUAGUGGUCUAUUGCACCGGUUUCGAAAACCGGCGCCUGUUAAGGGCAUCGUGGGUUCGAGUCCCACCCCUUCCG